UUCCUAGGAAGGUUUCUCCAUUAGAUUGGCUGCAUAAAGUUUUGAAGCCCUUGGAGCCUCCUGCAGGUAUGUUCUCAGUGUCCCAUCGAGGAAUAAUCAUUGACAACCUGGUAGGAACCAGGUGACAGAAGCUUCUGUGGCUGUUGAGUUACAGGUGUGUCUGCAGGGAGGACUUUCCCAGCUCCUUUGCUGAUCACUGCCCGCAAGCCCGGCUCCCAUCGCAGGGGUCCUCCGAGAGGGAAGAACAGAGCCACAGGACAGAAAGAACCACUUGAGUCACACCAUAUCCUGAAAGAAAUAGAGAAGGAACUGCUCACAGGGCGUGGGAUGGACAGAGAGGCUCUAUGGAAGGCGGCAUUUCCUGAACGAAGGGAGGCAAUUGCAGGCACGGGCCCAGGCACAGGAGAUGCAGCCAGCACAACACGUGUUCCCAAUUUCCAGAAGGGCAUCAGAAGAGGUUUCUGUCAGGGAACACGCUGUUGGCUAGAAUUAAUGGCAGGCCUGCUUUGUUUGGUGCUUGUCUUCAUUUUAUGCUGUGUUGGAAUCUGGUAUGUCUGGAAGACAAAACAGUGAGUGUUUCGUUCAUCUUUCCCUCAAACAGCUUCUUUUGAAAGUUAUUGUAGAAUAGAAACAUUCCCAGUGAAGCUGCUGUGGACUUGUGGCUAGUCCUUGGUUGUCCAAAUAACUCUGCUGAGAGUUCUGCUGCUGCCCAGGGCUUCCAUUGGCCUCUUAAUUGCUGGGCCUUGUCCUGGGGAGCCCGCUGGGGCUGCAGCCAGUGCUGGCUGCCACUGAGGCUGCCUGGCCAAGAGCAGCCCCAGGAGCAGCGGGCAGAGGCAAAGCAAGGUGGGCAGGAGAAAGAGCGGGGACGAGAUUGCCCUUGAAAGGCAGAGGUGCUCUGGGGCCCGCUCCUGGCCAGGGACCCUGCCCAGAGCCAUCCCCUGCUCUCCAGGGCC